rnacentral:rRNA from 1 species
AUUGAACGCUGGCGGCAGGCCUAACACAUGCAAGUCGAACGAGUGGCGGACGGGUGAGUAAUGUCUGGGAAACUGCCUGCUGGAGGGGGAUAACUACUGGAAACGGUAGCUAAUACCGCAUACCAUCGGAUGUGCCAAGAUGGGAUUAGCUAGUAGGGGGGGUAAAGGCGCACCUAGGCGACGAUCCCUGGCGGGUCUGAAGGGCUAACCAGCAAGACUGGAAGUGAGACACGGUCCAGACUCCUCCGGGAGGAAGCAGUGGGGAAGAUUGCACAAUGGGCGCAAGCCUGAUGCAGCCAUGCCGCGUGUAUGAAGAAGGCCUUCGGGUUGUAAAGUACUUUCAGCGGGGAGGCGUUACCCGCAGAAGAAGCACCGGCUAACUCCGUGCCAGCAGCCGCGGUAAUAC